rnacentral:lncRNA from 1 species
AGACAAUGGUUGCGUGAGCCUUCAAGAAGUGUGGCAUUUCUAAUGCAUUAAAUAGAACUGAAGAUGACUUUCUCUGCUAAGCAGACAGUGAAAA